rnacentral:rRNA from 1 species
UACGGGGGGGAGCAAGCGUUGUUCGGAUUUACUGGGCGUAAAGGGCGCGCAGGCGGCGCAUUUUGUCAGGCGUGAAAGCCCCGGGCUUAACCUGGGAACUGCGUUUGAUACGGAUGGGCUAGAGUUCGGGAGAGGAGAGUGGAAUUCCCAGUGUAGAGGUGAAAUGCGUAGAUAUCGGGAGGAACACCAGUGGCGAAGGCGGCUAGCUGGCCUGUAACUGACGCUGAGGCGCGAAGGCUAGGGGAGCGAACAGG